UGGGGAGGUUGGGAAACAGAGAGGACACUGGGGAGAGGAAAGUUAAAGGGAAAAUCCGGAACACAGAGAUCGCUUCUGGUCUCUGCGGAGGAAGCCAGGCCCCCAGGGCGCCCAUAUCCAGGUGGCAGUAAAGUGUUUUGUCCAAACUAAAUUACAACGACUACUUCCCAAUAGAUGGAAGCAAAGCGUCUGGACGAAGGAGAGCUUUUUUCUCAUGGUGCUGCUGUGUUAGCCUAGUGACAGCUCUGUAUGGCCCACACCUGGUCCACAGGAAGCUCUCAGGCACCUCUUGCCCGAACAAACUUGGGAGUACAGGCUAAUCCCAGUGCAGAUUCAACAUUCCUCUACUCUGCUGCCAAAACAGCCGCCAGCCUGUGGGAGUCAGACACAGGCCCACGGUGCCCCUCAGACUGCAGGAGGUACAAGUCAAGUGCUCUGAGGAGUUCCAUUGAAGGCCCACUCCCUCGACUUGAAGUAAAAGGCAGGCAGGCACCUGUGGUAAGAAUCACAGCUCACCAGCAACAGUCUCCAAAGACAUUGUCCUCAAUAAUUCUGGUUUGGCCUUUUAUAACUAAAUAACUGAGUAUUUAAUCUACCUGCUUUGUCUAAAUCCUCUGAAAUUUCUAGAGGGGGUCUAUCUCAGAAAUUACUUUAGUUUUUUGGUGGAUGGAGGGAAGAAGAUGGUUUCUUUUGUAAUAAUCUUGUUGCUUCAGUUAAAACAGUGGUUCUCAACUGCGACAAUUUUGGGGGACCAUGUGUGCAGACAUUUUUGGGUUUUUUUUAAACUUUUUUUUUCCUUCUGAAUUCAGGAUCUGCUGAAUACAGACAUUUUUGAUUGUCACCACUGGAGAGGUGCUAUUGGCUGGUGGGAGAAGGUCAAGGAUGCUGGUAAACAUCCUUUACGGCACAGGACAGCCCCUACAGCAAAGAACAGCAAUUCUGUUUGUUACAGAGAUGAGAGAAUACCUCACUAAAAGAAUACUUCAAAAUUACAUCACUUUUUCUUCUUUUUUCCUACAAAUUCUUUACCUGUAGAUGGAAACGUCACAUUUCAAUAUAUCAAUAGAGUCAAAAAUAGCAUUUGCAAUAGCUAUUUGGCCAGGAUGAGAAGUGACUGGUAUAGACCAAUCCUUUGUGUUUCCAAGACUCCCUCUGGAGAUGAGGCCAUGCCAGGAAAAUUAGUACUUGAGAUAAAAUUGUUAUUUAUUUGCAAGAUGACUUUUAAGCCUGGAAAACAAGCAUUCUAUCCAGCUUAUCUGAACAGAGGCAUUAUGCCUCUCAGAAGUAAGGUCAUGAGUCACAUCACUGUGGAAGGAAUAUAUCUUUGCUACAACCUGGACUGCAUUCUAGAUGCCAGGGAGGACCUCAGCAUAUCUGCCUCCCCAAGGUCACCAGUGUCACUGGAAUGAGACUUGAAGUCGGGAAGUAGCUGUCUCUGCAGUUACUUUACAGAUGGCUAAUAAUGCCCUCAUUAUUCACAGAGAAUGCAAAUGGGUUCUUCCAUCCUUUACAUGAGUUUGACUGAAUUCAUCUCUUCCAGAUGUAGCAGGAUGUUGAGCCCUUCCCUUGCACCAUCAGUAAGGAAACUUUUAAUCAGGUGUUUUCCUUACCGUUACUGAUCUCCCUGAGCAAGGCUGUUUGAGUACUGGGAUAUAGAUUAACUUGAGUUCAGUCAAGGCUGCCUUGUCUUUCUUAAUACGAUGUUAAUAAGAAACGAGCCACCCUAGCCAGAAAAGCCAAAAAGAUAUAUUCUAUCCCCACCAAUUCUAUCACUUAAAAGUAAAAUAGAUAAAACAAACAUUCCAAGUUCCAGUUCUAGCCCUGUUACUAGCCUUUUGACUCUGGUCAAGUUACUUAACUUAGUUGUACCUUAGAUUCCCCAUUAGUCAAAUAGGGAAACAGACUUAAAUGAAUUGGUAUGCAUAAAAGUGCUUUAUUAGCCAUAUACAAUUUUUUCAGUUCCCUCUCCUAUACUGCAUUCAGAGGCCUAGAGAACAACCUGAAAAUGUCUUGCUUUCAUAUCUGGAUUUUUAUUGCCAGGAAUGAGGCCCAGUGUGAACACCUUUCUUGACAGAAAUUGCCAAAUCUUUGUCUAUCUAUUUGUAAAUGAAAACCAAGAACCACUAAGAAUUCCCCCAAACUCUCGGUGCUGGUUUUAAGAUCUUCUGAGCCUUGUAAGUUACAGUAAAUACAAGCACAUCUCUUCCCCAAUUAGAAGCAUAUUUACACUGCCAAUUUGUAGAACAAGACAUGACUGUAAAUACAGAUAGGAAGCCAUCAUUACAUGCAGUCUUGUGUGCAGGGAAAAACAAGUGCAUAUGGAGAUGAGAUUGUGACUACUCUUGAUUCUCACAGAGCAGUAAAAUGCUAUCAAAUUCAGUCAAACUCAGCUAAUGAAUUUUCUCCUUGAGGUAGUCUCCUCUACUGGGAAGAAAGGAAGAACUAAAAACACAUCAAAUUUAAAUCCUCUGGUAAAAGAGAAGCAACUCACCAUUAGAGAGAUGUAUUGCUGGCUCUUCCAAGAAAUGGAGUGGAAAUCUUUCUGUGCCACUUUGCCCAGGACCAUUGUGCCAGUGUGCAAGAAUGUGUGUUUUUCAUAAACAGAAAAAUAUCACUAGCUGCAAAGAGAAGAAACUGUUCCAGGGUGUACAGAUCCCACGCCAGCCUCCAAAAUAAUGGCAAAUACUGUUCUGAUCUUAGCAACCCAGAAUAACCUUUGUGCCAUUUAUUUAUUCAACACAUAUUUCUUGGGCAGAUAUUAUGGGUCAGGCACUGUGCUAGGCGAUAUGAUCAUGAUCUCUGCCCUGGAAAAGCUUCAUCUUACAUAUCUCUGGAAUAAAAUAUUUUGGUGGAAUAGAACCAAAGUUAACAUAAUGUGGAUUUCAGCUUCUAUAUUCACUCAUAUAGCCACUGGUGCCAGUCACAUCCAGUUUGGAGAGCUGGAACAAUUAACAGUAAGUCUCAUCUUUGCCAAGUCCACAUAUUUGGCCGGAUAACUCAGAAUUCAGUGUAUGACAAUAAUGUAGGCCAAUACUAUCAUCAGCUAUAAGACUAAUUUGUUUUGGUUUCUUUAUUAAAUUC
rnacentral:lncRNA from 1 species